ensembl:snoRNA
CCCCUUCAUGAGGACAGAGAUACAACAUUGUAUUCCUGGAUUUGUGGGUCCUUGGAUGUGCCAGGCACUGGUUUAAGCACUUUAAAUUAGUGACAUAGCUGGCCUUGCCUCCAUUUCUGCUGCUGCAUCAAGUUUCUGGCAGUUGCCUGCAGGGGAGCCCACAGGUGGGGACCAGUGUGGGACUAGGCAUGAACUAUGUGAGCACAACCUUGAAUCUGACA